rnacentral:tRNA from 1 species
AUGGAUAAUGGCUAGCAGUGGAAUCCAGG